AUUAGAUACCCGGGUAGUCCUAGCCGUAAACGAUACUCGCUAGGUGUCGGCCACGGUGCGACCGUUGUCGGUGCCGUAGGGAAGCCGUGAAGCGAGCCACCUGGGAAGUACGGUCGCAAGGCUGAAACUUAAAGGAAUUGGCGGGGAGCACCACAACGCGUGGAGCCUGCGGUUUAAUUGGAUUCAACGCCGGAAAACUCACCGGGGGCGACAGCAAUAUGUAGGUCAAGCUAAAGACUUUACCAGAAUCGCUG
rnacentral:rRNA from 1 species